rnacentral:rRNA from 1 species
GAUGAACGCUGGCGGCGUGCCUAAUACAUGCAAGUCGAGCGAACAGACGAGGAGCUUGCUCCUCUGACGUUAGCGGCGGACGGGUGAGUAACACGUGGAUAACCUACCUAUAAGACUGGGAUAACUUCGGGAAACCGGAGCUAAUACCGGAUAAUAUAUUGAACCGCAUGGUUCAAUAGUGAAAGACGGUUUUGCUGUCACUUAUAGAUGGAUCCGCGCCGCAUUAGCUAGUUGGUAAGGUAACGGCUUACCAAGGCAACGAUGCGUAGCCGACCUGAGAGGGUGAUCGGCCACACUGGAACGGAGACACGGUCCAGACUCCUACGGGAGGCAGCAGUAGGGAAGCUUCCGCAAUGGGCGAAAGCCUGACGGAGCAACGCCGCGUGAGUGAUGAAGGGCUUCGGAUCGUAAAACUCUGUUAUUAGGGAAGAACAAAUGUGUAAGUAACUAUGCACGUCUUGACGGUACCUAAUCAGAAAGCCACGGCUAACUACGUGC